rnacentral:rRNA from 1 species
GAUGAACGCUAGCGGGAGGCCUAAUACAUGCAAGUCGAGCGGUAGAGUGACUUCGGUUGCUUGAGAGCGGCGCACGGGUGAGUAACGCGUACAUGACCUACCUUUAAGACUGGGAUAGCCCUGGGAAACUGGGAUUAAUACCGGAUGUGAUAAUACGUAUAGAGAUGUAUUAUUAAAGUUGAGGCGCUUAGAGAUGGAUGUGCGUCUGAUUAGCUAGUUGGUAGGUAACGGCCUACCAAGGCGACGAUCAGUAGGGGGCGUGAGAGCGUGGCCCCCCANACGGGUACUGAGACACGGACCCGACUCCUACGGGAGGCAGCAGUAAGGAAUAUUGGUCAAUGGACGGAAGUCUGAACCAGCCAUCCCGCGUGCAGGAUGACUGCCCUAUGGGUUGUAAACUGCUUUUAGCAGAGACGAAACGCCUCCAUUUAUGAGGGUCUGACGGUAUCUGCAGAAUAAGCACCGGCUAACUCCGUGCCAGCAGCCG